AGACCCGAAACCCGGUGAUCUAGCCAUGGGCAGGUUGAAGGUUGGGUAACACUAACUGGAGGACCGAACCGACUAAUGUUGAAAAAUUAGCGGAUGACCUGUGGCUGGGGGUGAAAGGCCAAUCAAACCGGGAGAUAGCUGGUUCUCCCCGAAAGCUAUUUAGGUAGCGCCUCGUGAAUUCAUCUCCGGGGGUAGAGCACUGUUUCGGCCAGGGGGCCAUCCCGGCUUACCAAUCCGAUGCAAACUGCGAAUACCGGAGAAUGUUAUCACGGGAGACACACGGCGGGUGCUAACGUCCGUCGUGAAGAGGGAAACAACCCAGACCGCCAGCUAAGGUCCCAAAGUCAUGGUUAAGUGGGAAACGAUGUGGGAAGGCCCAGACAGCCAGGAUGUUGGCUUAGAAGCAGCCAUCAUUUAAAGAAAGCGUAAUAGCUCACUGGUCGAGUCGGCCUGCGCGGAAGAUGUAACGGGGCUAAACCAUGCACCGAAGCUGCGGCAGCGA
rnacentral:rRNA from 1 species